rnacentral:lncRNA from 1 species
CCGGGCGGCGGCGGGGCCUCGCGGGGCGCCCUCGGGGCAUCCGGAGGGAAGGAGACGCUGGGGAUUUGCCCCGGGUCGCACCAGCACCUGGGGCAAGCCAGGGAGGGGAUUUGGGCCCUAUUUUGUGUGUGUCUGUGUGGGGGUGGGGGGGGGUUACACCAAAAAACGAGCUAUUCCAGCAGCAUAAACUACUUCGGGGGAAUUGUUCUGAAUGUUACUGAUGGAAGCCCUAGUCCAGAAUAACGGUGGGUUUUGUUUUUUUUCUGUUUACUGUAGUGCACUUUACCGAAGAUACUUGUGUGACCUGGGGCAGGCCACUUAAAUUUGCUUUCCUUUGGUCCCUUCGUGGUUAUCUAAACGGGAUCCUUUUGAAGUUGGAGAAAACAGAAAAGAUACCAUUGUAGUACCUGCUCUCCACAGCUUGUUUCCUCAUUUCACUUGCCUUGUGUGCUCAACUGGUCAGCAGCAUGCCUUCUACUGGGAACACCUCAAAACUUUUCCUGGUCCUCAUUUCGUUGCUGCUUGUGCUGCCAGCAGUUGAAGCCCUGGAUGCUGGAGAUGCAGUUGCCUUCCUGAUAAAUGCUGCUGCUGGUGAUGCUGCUUUAAUACUCCAGUGAGACUCAGCAGUUCUACAGCAUCUUCCAUCUGAGAGCCCUAAGUGCUUGCAAAUACUAAUGUUUGCAUCCCUACAGUAUCCUUUUAUGAAUGGGAAAACUGAUAGGAGAGUCAGUGACUUGACCGCUGCUUUACAAAG